CGAAAUGCGAUAAGUAAUGUGAAUUGCAGAAUUCAGUGAAUCAUCGAAUCUUUGAACGCACCUUGCGCUCCUUGGUAUUCCUUGGAGCAUGCCUGUUUGAGUAUCAUGAAAUCUUCAAAGUAAAUCUUUUGUUAACUCAAUUGGUUUCUACUUUGGUAUUGGAGGUCUUUGCAGCUUCACACCUGCUCCUCUUUGUUCAUUAGCUGGAUCUCAGUGUUAUGCUUGGUUCCACUCGGCGUGAUAAGUUAUCUAUCGCUGAGGACACUGUAAAAGGUGGCCAAGGUAAAUGCAGAUGAACCGCUUCUAAUAGUCCAUUAACUUGGACAAUACUUUUAUGAUCUGAUCUCAAAUCAGGUAGGACUACCCGCUGAACUUAAGC
rnacentral:misc_RNA from 1 species